AAAUAAUUUAAACUAAUUAAAAUUCUGUAAAAUGUUGCACUUGUUCCAUGCAUAUACUGUAUAUCCCUGAUAUUAAAGCACAGUUUGUUCUGCUUCUCCAAUUCAGGAUCAAGGGGGUAGGGCGGGGUGCUGGAGCCUAUCCUAGCUAUCACAACGUGAAAGGUGGGGUACGCCCUGGACAGGCCAAUCUGUUGCAGGACCAAAACAUAGAGAAAAACAAGUAUUCACUCACACGUGGUCAACUUAGAAUCACCAGUUGCCCUAACCUCCUGCACAUCUUUGGACUGUGGGGGGAAGCCCGCACAGAACCCACAUACGCAAACUGCACACACAAAGACCCCCAGAUUGGAUUUGAACCCAUCUUGCUCUGUGGUGCCAGUGCUAGCCACUGUGCCACCCUGAGUUAGAUUAUAUAAAAGAAUAGUGUAAAGUUAGAAAAAAGAAAUUAAGUGCUGAUAUAUAAGGACCAGAAUGUGGAAGUAAACGCUAUGUGCCAUGGUAACUAUGGUAAAUCUAACUGGAAAAAAACAAAACAAAAGCUUAGUCACAAAUAUAAAGAAAAGAAAGAAGAUGACUACAGGCUGCAGUGGUACUCUCAGUCUUGCACGCACACACAUACAGACAGCUUCCAAGAGGCUGAUGUACACAGACCUCUGUGUACAUCAGGGAGCAGCCAUAACAGACAGAUGUGAAGUACAUUACAGAUACAACAGAUCACAUGACCCAAGUCUUCCCACACAAACCUCUUUUCUCCAGAGAGACUCUUCUAGAGAGUAUUUAAAGAUUCAGACAAAAAAAAGAGAGAUGAGAAUAUAAACACCUCUGCGUACAGUGUGAUUUAAGAUUAUUGCAGAUGAAUGCAAAUAUUAAUUUUAAAUUCGCUGUGAUAAUCCCCUCAUCCGUCCCCCAGAAAUUGAAGAAUAAUUUGGAGCGGAGGAGUGUGUGUGAGUGUGCAGGCAAACUAAACUCACAUCCUUCUGCGUUAUUCUGCACUCUGUCACAGAGGAAGCUGCAGAGACAAUACAGCCCACAGUGCACCAUGGCCUCAUACAGCAAUCCUUUACAUCUCCACUAGAUUAAUGCCACGAGACAAAUGCACUUCCACUGG
ensembl:lncRNA